rnacentral:tRNA from 1 species
GGUGGCUCAGUGGUAGAGCACUUGCCUUGCAUGCAUGAGGCCGUGGGUUCAAUUCCUCCGCACCA